AUUGAACGCUGGCGGCAUGCCUUACACAUGCAAGUCGGACGAGUGGCGAACGGGUGAGUAAUAUAUCGGAACGUACCGAGUAAUGGGGGAUAACUAAUCGCAAGUUUAGCUAAUACCGCAUAUAAUUCGAGCGGCCGAUAUCUGAUUAGCUGGUUGGUGGGGUAACGGGCUACCAAGGCGACGAUCAGUAGCGGGUCUGAGAGGAUGACCCGCCAAACUGUGACUGAGAAACGGCCCAGACUCCUACGGGAGGCAGCAGUGGGGAAUGUUGGACAAUGGGCGAAAGCCUGAUCCAGCCAUGCCGCGUGUCUGAAGAAGGCCUUCGGGUGGUAAGAGACUUUUGUCAGGGAAGCGGUACCUGAAGAAUAAGCACCGGCUAACUACGUGCCAGCAGCCGCGGUAAUAC
rnacentral:rRNA from 1 species